UGGGGAAUAUUGGACAAUGGGGGAAACCCUGAUCCAGCGACGCCGCGUGUGUGAAGAAGGCCUGCGGGUUGUAAAGCACUUUUAGUGGGGACAAAAAGCCAUGGAUUAAUACUCUGUGGUCUUGAUUUAACCUACAGAAAAAGCACCGGCUAACUCUGUGCCAGCAGCCGCGGUAAUACAGAGGGUGCGAGCGUCAAUCGGAAUUACUGGGCGUAAAGCGCGCAUAGACGGUUUUGUAAGUCAGAUGUGAAAUCCCUGGGCUCAACCUGGGAACUGCAUUUGAGACUGCAUGGCUAGAGUAUCGAAGAGGGAAGUGGAAUUUCCGGUGUAGCGGUGAAAUGCGUAGAUAUCGGAAGGAACACCAGUGGCGAAAGCGACUUCCUGGUCGAAUACUGACGUUCAUGUGCGAAAGCGUGGGGAGCAAAC
rnacentral:rRNA from 1 species